CUUGAAACUGUUUCGCUUGAGUGUAGGAGAGGGCAGUAGAAUUCCAGGUGUAGUGGUGAAAUACGUAGAUAUCUGGAGGAAUACCGGAGGGGAAGCCGGCUGCCUGGCCUAACACUGACACUCAGACCCGAAAGCGUGGGGAUCAAACAGGAUUAGAUACCCUGGUAGUCCACGCCGUAAACGAUGGACACUUGGUGUUGGAGGUAUUGACCCCUUCAGUGCCGAAGCAAACGCGUUAAGUGUCCCGCCUGGGGAGUACGGCCGCAAGGUUAAAACUCAAAGAAAUUGACGGGGGCCCGCACAAGCGGUGGAGCAUGUGGUUUAAUUCGAUGCAACGCGAAAAACCUUACCUAGAUUUGACAUCUAGUGGAAGACUCUCAGAAAUGAGGUCGCCUUCGGGCCGCUAGACAGGUGCUGCAUGGCUGUCGUCAGCUCGUGUCGUGAGAUGUUGGGUUAAGUCCCGCAACGAGCGCAACCCUUGCCUUUAGUUGCCAGCAUUUAGUUGGGCACUCUAAAGGGACUGCCGACGUUAAGUCGGAGGAAGGUGGGGAUGACGUCAAGUCCUCAUGGCCUUUAUAUCUAGGGCUACACACGUGCUACAAUGGUCGGUACAGAGGGCAACGAUACCGCAAGGUGGAGUAAAUCCCAAAAAGCCGAUCUAAGUUCGGAUUG
rnacentral:rRNA from 1 species